rnacentral:rRNA from 1 species
GAUGAACGCUGGCGGCGUGCUUAACACAUGCAAGUCGAACGGGGAAGCAGGAGCUUGCUCUUGUGGAUCAGUGGCUAACGGGUGAGUAACACGUGAGCAACCUUCCCCUGGCUCUGGGAUAAGCGCUGGAAACGGCGUCUAAUACUGGAUAUGUGAUGUGACCGCAUGGUCUGCAUCUGGAAAGAAUUUCGGUUGGGGAUGGGCUCGCGGCCUAUCAGCUUGUUGGUGAGGUAAUGGCUCACCAAGGCGUCGACGGGUAGCCGGCCUGAGAGGGUGACCGGCCACACUGGGACUGAGACACGGCACAGACUCAUACGGGAGGCAGGAGUGGGGAAUAUUGCACAAUGGGCGGAAGACUGGUGCAGCAACGACGCGUGAGGGAUGACGGCCUUCGGGUUGUAAACCUCUUUUAGCAGGGAAGAAGCGAAAGUGACGGUACCUGCAGAAAAAGCACCGGCUAACUACGUGCCAGCCGCCGCAGUAA